GACGGACCACACAAACGUUAUUCGGAAUUACUGGGCUUAAAGGGUGCGUAGGUUGUGCAGUAAGUUGGGUGUGAAAUCCCUCGGCUCAACCGAGGAAUUGCGCCCAAAACUACUGUGCUCGAGGAAGACAGAGGUAAGCGGAACUUAGGGUGGAGCGGUGAAAUGCGUUGAUAUCCUAAGGAACACCGGUGGCGAAAGCGGCUUACUGGGUCUUUUCUGACGCUGAGGCACGAAAGCUAGGGUAGCGAACGGG
rnacentral:rRNA from 1 species